GAUGAAGAACGUAGCGAAAUGCGAAAAGUAAUGUGAAUUGCAGAAUUCAGUGAAUCAUCGAAUCUUUGAACGCACAUUGCGCCCGCCAGUAUUCUGGCGGGCAUGCCUGUUCGAGCGUCAUUUCAACCCUCAAGCUCUGUCUUGCGCUUGGUGUUGGGGAUCGGCCCUGCCCGCCAGCCCGGGCGGGCCGCCCCCGAAAUGAAUCGGCGGUCUCGUCGCAGCCUCCUCUGCGUAGUAAUUCAGUUAUCCUCGCACUUGGAGCGCGGCGCGGCCACUGCCCGUAAAACGCCCAACUUCUCAAGAGUUGACCUCGAAUCAGGUAGGAAUACCCGCUGAACUUAAGCAUAUCAAUAAGCGGAGGA
rnacentral:misc_RNA from 1 species